rnacentral:rRNA from 1 species
UAUCAAUAAGCGGAGGAAAAGAAACCAACAGGGAUUGCCCCAGUAACGGCGAGUGAAGCGGCAACAGCUCAAAUUUGAAAUCUGGCCCCUAGGGCCCGAGUUGUAAUUUGCAGAGGAUGCUUUUGGCGAGGUGCCUUCCGAGUUCCCUGGAACGGGACGCCAUAGAGGGUGAGAGCCCCGUCUGGUUGGAUGCCGAGCCUCUGUAAAGCUCCUUCGACGAGUCGAGUAGUUUGGGAAUGCUGCUCUAAAUGGGAGGUAUAUGUCUUCUAAAGCUAAAUACCGGCCAGAGACCGAUAGCGCACAAGUAGAGUGAUCGAAAGAUGAAAAGCACUUUGAAAAGAGGGUUAAAUAGUACGUGAAAUUGUUGAAAGGGAAGCACUUAUGACCAGACUUGGACCCGGUGAAUCAUCCAGCGUUCUCGCUGGUGCACUUUGCCGGGCUCAGGCCAGCAUCAGUUUGCCUCCGGGGAUAAAGGCUUUGGGAAUGUGGCUCCCUCGGGAGUGUUAUAGCCCAUUGCACAAUACCCUGGGGCGGACUGAGGUUCGCGCAUCUGCAAGGAUGCUGGCGUAAUGGUCAUCAGUGACCCGUCUUGAAACACGGACCAAGGAGUCGUCUUCGUAUGCGAGUGUUCGGGUGUAAAACCCCUACGCGUAAUGAAAGUGAACGCAGGUGAGAGCUUCGGCGCAUCAUCGACCGAUCCUGAUGUUCUCGGAUGGAUUUGAGUAAGAGCAUACGGGGCCGGACCCGAAAGAAGGUGAACUAUGCCUGUAUAGGGUGAAGCCAGAGGAAACUCUGGUGGAGGCUCGCAGCGGUUCUGACGUGCAAAUCGAUCGUCAAAUAUGGGCAUGGGGGCGAAAGACUAAUCGAACCUUCUAGUAGCUGGUUUC